AUUAUGUAUAAUUUGUAAUUUAAUUAUAAAUAUACAACCGAAAAACCGCAAUCUGUAUUAAAAAUAUAGAAAUAGAUUAAAUGUAAACGCAAAUGCACACAUUUAACACCGUCCGUCCGUAGUUUAAUAUAAUGUAAGUAAAUAAUAGACACACAGACAUGUUAAACGUAUAACAUCCACCUUUUUACAUCCAAGUCACAAGUAAAAAUUUUGCUCAGACUUAGAAUAAGGAUUGUAAAUUUUUGAACGCAGCCCAAUACGUUACUCUGUGAACGUACACAGGUUAGAAUUUUAGUUGUCAAGUCAAUGUCAAGUGUCAAACCGACCGAGUAAAUUUCAGCGCAAGGGCACAUGCCGUAUAAAUAUUAAAUUUUAAUUUAUUUGCAAUGUAAAUACCGAAAAGCUGAACCCGUAUACCUAAUGUAAUUACCAGGAAAAUGUAUAUCAGUACUCAAUAAGUUGUACAUACAUAGCCUAAAAUGUAAAAAUUCUCCUGCUGAGGGGGGAGAAUGUAACGAACCGUUACCAAACCAUCCACCGCACCUACCCACAUACCGAAGCCACAAGAGCGCCCGCGAGUCAAAGCGGGGCACCACACAGGCGACUCCGGAGAAUACAAGGGGCGCGGGGCGACCCGCCUAUAAAUAACCGCGAGCCGGCCGUCCGACCACCAUUCGUCACCUCCUGCUCCGGCGAGUGAUUAGUCCAUUCCCGAGAUCCUUCCCCGCACCUGUAUCUAUCUAAGUAUCUAUUCACACACACUAAGUUCACAACACCGUCCUCCCUACGCUGUGGGUCGCCUACUAGCGGAUCGAGGUUCCCCGGAAUACACGGACGCCUGGGUCGCCUAGUUUAAAGCGGCCGUGUACCGAACUAUACAAUCGCUGAACACACACCGGCCCUCAGCCACACGUUUUUAUCAACUCAAAUACACUCCACAAAUCCUGGAACAAAUCCACACGCACCACCGGUAUUCACCCGACCUCCUGUACCCUGUAUUCCUUCCCUUUAUUAAGAUAGGAACAUCCGCGUAGGCCCCUUCAGGGCCCGACCAAUAUAAAUACCAAUAACCGUGAUAAGUAGUUGUGCAUUUGUGUAUUGUGUUAAUAUUAAGUACAUAAGCUGUAAGUACCCUAGAUACAUAAGUAAACCUGGUUGUAAAUAAAGCGGGUCCAGUGCCGCCUGAAUUGUGUUACACUAAUUAA